rnacentral:lncRNA from 1 species
UUGGAUUCACCACACUCAUUCAACCACCGUAACUGGUAGGGAGCUGGAUGCUUGAUGCAUGUCAACCCUGCUUUUUCCAUGAAUAGAGUGUUUACCACAUUAACACAGCUACCACUAUCAAUGAUCAUUCCAUAUACCUUACCAUUAAUAAGAAAUCGCAUGUGAAAAAUGUUCUCCCUCUGCUUGUUUUCUUCACUCCUUACUUGCACGUUGAGAACUCUUCAGAAAACAAGAACAUUACUCCUAAGUGGAGCAUCUUUGAUGGAUUGAGACAUAGUAUAGUAGUUGCAGGAAUGGUUAGCGAAAAGAAUACAU